rnacentral:sRNA from 1 species
CCCGGCACUCACGUGCCGGGCUAUCACCUGCCGCCGCUUCGCGGCU